rnacentral:rRNA from 1 species
AAUGAAAAUUUAAAUAGCUGCAAUUUUUGUACUAAGGUAGCAUAAUCAUUUGUUUUUUAAUUUAAAACUAGAAUGAAAGGUAAAACAAAUUAUUUCUUUAUUCAUUAUUUUAUUUUAAUUUAUACUAAAUAUAAAAAUAUAUUUUUACAAAAAAAAGACGACAAGACCCUAUUGAACUUCACUUCAGUUUAGCUGGGGAAGCUAAAUAAUAAAUAUUUUAUUAUAAAUUUUUAAAUGACCCAAAAUAUUUGACUUUAUAAUCAAGUUACCAUAGGGAUAACAGCGCAAUAAAUUUUUAAAGCUCUUAUCUAAAAAUUUGUUUACGACCUCGAUGUUGAAUUAGAAAUCUUUAUUAAGCAAAAAUAAUAAAAGUAGGUCUGUUCGACCUUUAAAAUUCUACAUGAU